rnacentral:rRNA from 1 species
CUACGGGGGGCUCCAGUGGGAAAUAUUGCACAAUGGGCGCAAGCCUGAUGCAGCCAUGCCGCGUGUAUGAAGAAGGCCUUCGGGUUGUAAAGUACUUUCAGCGGGGAGGAAGGGAGUAAAGUUAAUACCUUUGCUCAUUGACGUUACCCGCAGAAGAAGCACCGGCUAAGCCGUGCCAGCAGCCGCGGUAAUACGGAGGGUGCAAGCGUUAAUCGGAAUUACUGGGCGUAAAGCGCACGCAGGCGGUUUGUUAAGUCAGAUGUGAAAUCCCCGGGCUCAACCUGGGAACUGCAUCUGAUACUGGCAAGCUUGAGUCUCGUAGAGGGGGGUAGAAUUCCAGGUGUAGCGGUGAAAUGCGUAGAGAUCUGGAGGAAUACCGGUGGCGAAGGCGGCCCCCUGGACGAAGACUGACGCUCAGGUGCGAAAGCGUGGGGAGCAAACAGGAUUAGAUACCCCUGUAGUC